rnacentral:rRNA from 1 species
UAGUCUGGGAUACCACUUGGAAACAGGUGCUAAUACCGGAUAAGAAAGCGGAUCGCAUGAUCAGCUUUUAAAAGGCGGCGUAAGCUGUCGCUAUGGGAUGGCCCCGCGGUGCAUUAGCUAGUUGGUAAGGUAAAGGCUUACCAAGGCGAUGAUGCAUAGCCGAGUUGAGAGACUGAUCGGCCACAUUGGGACAGAGACACGGCCCAAACUCCUACGGGAGGCAGCAGCG